GUGGCAGCACGUAUACUAAACCUGGAGUGAUACAGAGAAGAUUAGUAUGGCCCCUGUGCAAGGAUGACAUACACACACACACACACAUUGGUGAAGUAUUCCAUAUUUUU